UUGGAAGGAAGAAGAAGAGGAAUUUUACUAGAGUUUUGAGGUUGAAGAAGAGAAGGAGAACUCAAGCAAAGUGUAUCCAUGGCAGAAUCUUGGUUCAUUCUGCACCUCACUGAUUUUUAAUUUGGUUUGAACUUUUCAGAAGGAAUUAAGAUGUGAGGUUUACAUUUACUGAAAUUUAACUCAUUUUCAAACAAAUUUUAUGAAGAAAGCUGGAGCAAAUUCUGAUAUUCAUUGGGUGCUUUUUGAUGAAGAAAACAGGGUAGCUGGUUUUCACGCGAAUUCAAGAGGUCGAGAAGAAUUAAACCGAGCUUACAGACCAAGGAUCUAGCCCAAGACUGUAAAGAUCGAGUUUCCGGUGUCUGGUAAACUGCCUUAGUCUGCUGAAGCUCUGUUAUCGAUUGCCAGUACGUGUUUCGAGUUGAAAUAGAGUCUGUUGUGUUAUGAUGUAUAUACACCCUUGUAUGUUAUAGAUACUCCACAGUUUGUAUAAGCUUUAGGAGCUACAGUUGUGUAAAUUUUUGUUGGUUAUAUUUCUAUUAAGGUGUCUUUAGGUUUACUCGUGAAAUCUGUUAAUUUCGAGGUACACUUCAUGUAUGUGUUUGACUAGCCUAGGAUCCGCUCUGUUUUGUUGCAUGUAUAAUAGUUUAUAUACUAGAUUGGCAAGUUCACCACAUUAAAGUUUUAAGCAGAU